rnacentral:rRNA from 1 species
AGUGAACGCUGGCGGUAGGCCUAACACAUGCAAGUCGAACGGCAGCACAGUAAGAGCUUGCUCUUACGGGUGGCGAGUGGCGGACGGGUGAGGAAUACAUCGGAAUCUACUUUUUCGUGGGGGAUAACGUAGGGAAACUUACGCUAAUACCGCAUACGACCUACGGGUGAAAGCAGGGGAUCUUCGGACCUUGCGCGAUUGAAUGAGCCGAUGUCGGAUUAGCUAGUUGGCGUGGUAAAGGCCCACCAAGGCGACGAUCCGUAGCUGAUCUGAGAGGAUGAUCGGCCACACUGGAACUGAGACACGGUCCAGACUCCUACGGGAGGCAGCAGUGGGGAAUAUUGGACAAUGGGCGCAAGCCUGACCCAGCCAUACCGCGUGGGUGAAGAAGGCCUUCGGGUUGUAAAGCUCUUUUGUUGGGAAAGAAAAGCAGCAGGUUAAUACCCCGCUGUUCUGACGGUACCCAAAGAAUAAGCACCGGCUAACUUCGUG